UACGUAGGGUGCAAGCGUUGUCCGGAAUUAUUGGGCGUAAAGAGCUCGUAGGCGGUUUGUCGCGUCGACUGUGAAAACCCGAGGCUUAACCUCGGGCCUGCAGUCGAUACGGGCAGACUAGAGUUCGGUAGGGGAGACUGGAAUUCCUGGUGUAGCGGUGAAAUGCGUAGAUAUCAGGAGGAAUACCGGUGGCGAAAGCGACUCUCUGGACGGCAACUGACGCUGAGGCACGAAAGCGUGGGGAGCAAACAGG
rnacentral:rRNA from 1 species